CGGGAUGGGCGAACAGGAGUCAGCAGAGGCCAUAUUAGGCUCUCUAACCAAGAGCUGAAGGGC
rnacentral:misc_RNA from 1 species